GACGAACGCUGGCGGCGUGCUUAACACAUGCAAGUCGAACGGAAAGGCCCUGCUUUUGUGGGGUGCUCGAGUGGCGAACGGGUGAGUAACACGUGAGUAACCUGCCCUUGACUUUGGGAUAACUUCAGGAAACUGGGGCUAAUACCGGAUAGGAGCUCCUGCUGCAUGGUGGGGGUUGGAAAGUUUCGGCGGUUGGGGAUGGACUCGCGGCUUAUCAGCUUGUUGGUGGGGUAGUGGCUUACCAAGGCUUUGACGGGUAGCCGGCCUGAGAGGGUGACCGGCCACAUUGGGACUGAGAUUCGGCCCAGACUCCUACGGGAGGCAUCAGUGGGGAAUAUUGCACAAUGGGCGGAAGCCUGAUGCAGCAACGCCGCGUGCGGGAUGACGGCCUUCGGGUUGUAAACCGCUUUCGCCUGUGACGAAGCGUGAGUGACGGUAAUGGGUAAAGAAGCACCGGCUAACUACGUG
rnacentral:rRNA from 1 species